UGAUAAUAUGUGAAUCUGUGAUAAUUUGACAUUAGAAUGAAUUUGCUAUUUGUUUUCCUUUGUAAUUAUAAAUCUUCGUGCUUUGUUGCUUUUAAUUGACAGGACAGGCUUUUAGUUAUAGUUGAAGACAUUGCACAAGAAAAAGCAAGAAAACACAGCCCCAGUGCACUUUGCAUGCCUAUCUAUCUUUGAUCACAUCGCACACUGUUUGUGUGUGGGAGAGGGAAAGAAAUUGCACAGGCAAAAAACAAGAUAAUAAAUGAAGAAAAGCAUAAUCAAACACUCACUCUGGUGAAGUUACAAAAACAACCCAUGUAUUAUCAUCACUUUUUUUGAUUUUUUAACUUUUGAUAUCAUGUGCUUCUUUCUUUAUACCAAAUUAUAAAAAUAUUAACUCAUCAUUUCACUCUGUUGAAUAUCUGUUAAAGUAGUUCCCUUGAUGCUUGACAUCAAAGCACUAUUUAAUCAUUUUCAGAGGGCUCUUGGAGUCAUAAGAUAAAGCCAUUGGGUUUUUAGAUAGCUCUCUCAGAUUUCUCAUUGGUUUGUUUUUGUGCUUUUUCUAGGGCAUCAUGAAAUUCCAUUAAAAUGGGUAGAUUAAAUUCCUAGGACUUAGAUUUUGAGCUAGUUGUAUUAAAUUUAAUGAAUUAUGUUUUCCAUUUACCCUUCCCUUGUACCAAUUGUGGUAUAUGGGAUUUCUAAUUUUUGAAGAUCUGCAUUAGUGGUCAUAAAGAUUUUUUUUUUUUUUCUUUUUCUUCAAGUGUUUGUGGAGAGAUUCUACUGUAAUGGAAUUUAGUCCAGUACCUUAUGUUUGCUUCUGGGAUCUGAAUUUCAAUCUGAUAAGUAAUUUUUUCUCCAUAGAUCUUUCAGUCAAUUGCUAAGUUUCUGUAGAUGGCCGAGGUUCAAAAUCAAAAUUAGACCUUUGUUUUCCUUAUCUUGAUUUCACAAUUCAUUAGGCAAAUAAUAUUACAAUUCAAGUCCUCCUAGCAUUCUUGCUUCUGUGGGUCUAACACUUUUAACUGGCCAUUGAUUGCCAUUGAGUGAAACUUGAUCAUUGACAUCUGAUGAAAUUUCAGGUACAGGCAGCUUACAAAUGAGCGUUGCUGAAGUCUCAUCCAGAUCAAGCUCCGCACUCAUGUGGUUGGAAAGCAUUCUUUUGUUUGUAAAGUAACUUAUUAGUGUUGGUUGAACUUAUGUCUGUUGGUUGAGAAGCCGUCAGUUAUCAAUCAGGCAUGUCAUUUGUUGAACUUAUGUCUGUCGGUUGAGGAAAUUGAAAGUAUUUGUUACAUUUAUUGAUACAUUUUAUUUAUAUAUGAUAAAUGUUUGUGUUAA
rnacentral:lncRNA from 1 species